AGGUCGAUGCCCGAGUGGUUAAAGGGGGCGGAUUGUAAAUCCGCUGUGAUUGUACUACGUUGGUUCGAAUCCAACUCGACUUA
rnacentral:tRNA from 1 species